rnacentral:lncRNA from 10 species
GGGAGGAAGAUUGCUGCAGCCAGUGAGCUAAGCGGAAAGAAUAUCCUGGGCUUCCUUGGGAUCCGAUGUGGACUUGGUCCAGCUGCAGGGAGAGAAUGUACUGCUCAGGCCGACGUGAGGAUCCAAUCCACUCACCGGUUACAUGCCACGAUGUAAAUUAAUAAAUUCGCAUUCUGAUUUUAUCAUCUGCCUCAUCUGAGGUCUGUAGGCGUGAGUCAGCAUCCCCUAGUUUAAUCAACAUGGACACUGAGACUAUCAAGCUUUUGAGCUGAAAAGCUAAGAAUUAGACCCAGGACCAGAGUGAAAUCACCAAGAUGAGGAAAUCCAAGCUCAGAAUGGAUAAUUCACCUAAGGAAAUACAGAUGGAAAAUGGCAGAGCUGCAAUCUAAACCCAGGUCCAUCUGAUAAUAAAGCCCAGGCUCUCCUCAACCAACUUCAGAUCUGGGAUGCUUCCAGUGAGACUCCGUGCUCCCUCCCUGUGUGGUUCCCAUGGCCUUUCUUUACCUCAAGAAAAUGCAGAGUGAAAAGCAAUGGUAGCAGAAGUUUCUAGAAGUUACUUAUAUGGCAAGUGCAAGUAUUUCAGAACACAUUUGAGAUUCAGGAAGGAGGCAAAAAGGCUUCUGCUGAGCAGUCAAAAUGACGAAGUUUGUAAACUUCACUUUAUUUGGGUCCCUGCUGAAAGUCUACCUACUCUUUAAAAACAAUAACAACAACAAAAAAUGGGAACACACUAUUAACGCUGUUCUGCACAUGUAUUUUUCAAUUAACAAUUGGUGAGUAUUCCCUUUUAGCGCACAUAGAUCUACCUCAUUCAUUUAAGGGCUCUGUAGUGCUGCAUUGUGUGAAUGCACCAAAUGUGUAUUUAUCCUGCAUUCUCUAGGUGGACAUUUUAGACACUUACAAGGGUUGGGGCUCAGAAAGUGAUAUCCCAAAGGCUGAUGUUUUGACAUGCUGAGGGCCCUCAGAAGCCGCCCCCGAACCAAGGUCCCUCUAACUUCUUGUUCCCCAUACCUGCCCCACCACCAAACACAGGGAGGGACUGUCUGUCUUUGGAAAUUUCCUCAUCUGACCAAGAAAGCAUCUUUCCAAAAGAAAUGCAAUUGUCUUAAACACCCUCCCUAGAGGUCUCAUCAAAUAACCAAGAAAGAUAAACCACCAGAAGAGAUGAGACUGGGAAUCAUCACCACACCCAGACAGACUUCAUCUAUUCUUCUGAGAGCAGCUCCAAGAGAUUGCCUGGAGGACUUUAUCUGCUUAAUAAGACAAGCUUUGUUCCUGUACAGCUCCGCCCCUCACCUUCCUGUAAUAUCUGCCUCCCACCUCCCCAGUCCAUACAUCUCCUCCCUCCUGUAUGAAAAAGGGUAUACAAGCUUCUGUGCCCCAUUGGGUUAUUGGGAAAUCAUUCUCCUGUGAUUCCCCUGUGCCAUGCACACUAAAAUAAAAUUUUGUAUG